UCUAUUUUGGCAGAUUAAUUGUAUCAAAUUUAGAAUUUGAAAAGGAUAAUAUAUCAAAUAGAA
rnacentral:tRNA from 1 species